rnacentral:rRNA from 1 species
UUAAGCGACUAAGCGUACACGGUGGAUGCCCUGGCAGUCAGAGGCGAUGAAGGGCGUGCUAAUCUGCGAUAAGCGCCGGUAAGGUGAUAUGAACCGUUAUAACCGGCGAUACCCGAAUGGGGAAACCCAGUGUGAUUCGUCACACUAUCAUUAACUGAAUCCAUAGGUUAAUGAGGCGAACCGGGGGAACUGAAACAUCUAAGUACCCCGAGGAAAAGAAAUCAACCGAGAUUCCCCCAGUAGCGGCGAGCGAACGGGGAGGAGCCCAGAGCCUGAAUCAGCAUGUGUGUUAGUGGAAGCGUCUGGAAAGGCGCGCGAUACAGGGUGACAGCCCCGUACACAAAAGCGCAUGUGCUGUGAGCUCGAUGAGUAGGGCGGGACACGUGGUAUCCUGUCUGAAUAUGGGGGGACCAUCCUCCAAGGCUAAAUACUCCUGACUGACCGAUAGUGAACCAGUACCGUGAGGGAAAGGCGAAAAGAACCCCGGCGAGGGGAGUGAAAAAGAACCUGAAACCGUGUACGUACAAGCAGUGGGAGCCCCACCACUAAGCCAGUGGUGAACUCCACAUCCGCAUCCUUUGCUGAGGAUACGGUUAACGGAGCGAAAGCGACGUUCAACCGCAAAACAAGCAGAGGGGGCUUAGUGGUGGGGUGACUGCGUACCUUUUGUAUAAUGGGUCAGCGACUUAUAUUCUGUAGCAAGGUUAACCGAAUAGGGGAGCCGGAGGGAAACCGAGUCUUAAUUGGGCGUUAAGUUGCAGGGUAUAGACCCGAAACCCGGUGAUCUAGCCAUGGGCAGGUUGAAGGUUGGGUAACACUAACUGGAGGACCGAACCGACUAAUGUUGAAAAAUUAGCGGAUGACCUGUGGCUGGGGGUGAAAGGCCAAUCAAACCGGGAGAUAGCUGGUUCUCCCCGAAAGCUAUUUAGGUAGCGCCUCGUGAAUUCAUCUCCGGGGGUAGAGCACUGUUUCGGCUAGGGGGCCAUCCCGGCUUACCAACCCGAUGCAAACUGCGAAUACCGGAGAAUGUUAUCACGGGAGACACACGGCGGGUGCUAACGUCCGUCGUGAAGAGGGAAACAACCCAGACCGCCAGCUAAGGUCCCAAAGUCAUGGUUAAGUGGGAAACGAUGUGGGAAGGCCCAGACAGCCAGGAUGUUGGCUUAGAAGCAGCCAUCAUUUAAAGAAAGCGUAAUAGCUCACUGGUCGAGUCGGCCUGCGCGGAAGAUGUAACGGGGCUAAACCAUGCACCGAAGCUGCGGCAGCGAACGUAUCACCCAAGACAACUUUACGGAGUUGACGAUUGACGGAGCGAAGCGACGUCAAAGCGUUCAUUAAAGUCGAGUUGGCUUAGGGAUACGUUCGUUGGGUAGGGGAGCGUUCUGUAAGCCUGUGAAGGUGUGUCGUGAGGCAUGCUGGAGGUAUCAGAAGUGCGAAUGCUGACAUAAGUAACGAUAAAGCGGGUGAAAAGCCCGCUCGCCGGAAGACCAAGGGUUCCUGUCCAACGUUAAUCGGGGCAGGGUGAGUCGACCCCUAAGGCGAGGCCGAAAGGCGUAGUCGAUGGGAAACGGGUUAAUAUUCCCGUACUUGGUGUUACUGCGAAGGGGGGACGGAGAAGGCUAUGUUGGCCGGGCGACGGUUGUCCCGGUUUAAGCGUGUAGGUGUGUGUUCCAGGUAAAUCCGGUUCACUUUAACACUGAGGCGUGAUGACGAGGCACUACGGUGCUGAAGCAACAAAUGCCCUGCUUCCAGGAAAAGCCUCUAAGCAUCAGGUAACAUCAAAUCGUACCCCAAACCGACACAGGUGGUCAGGUAGAGAAUACCAAGGCGCUUGAGAGAACUCGGGUGAAGGAACUAGGCAAAAUGGUGCCGUAACUUCGGGAGAAGGCACGCUGACACGUAGGUGAAGUGAUUUACUCACGGAGCUGAAGUCAGUCGAAGAUACCAGCUGGCUGCAACUGUUUAUUAAAAACACAGCACUGUGCAAACACGAAAGUGGACGUAUACGGUGUGACGCCUGCCCGGUGCCGGAAGGUUAAUUGAUGGGGUCAGCGCAAGCGAAGCUCCUGAUCGAAGCCCCGGUAAACGGCGGCCGUAACUAUAACGGUCCUAAGGUAGCGAAAUUCCUUGUCGGGUAAGUUCCGACCUGCACGAAUGGCGUAAUGAUGGCCAGGCUGUCUCCACCCGAGACUCAGUGAAAUUGAACUCGCUGUGAAGAUGCAGUGUACCCGCGGCAAGACGGAAAGACCCCGUGAACCUUUACUAUAGCUUGACACUGAACAUUGAGCCUUGAUGUGUAGGAUAGGUGGGAGGCUUUGAAGUGUGGACGCCAGUCUGCAUGGAGCCGACCUUGAAAUACCACCCUUUAAUGUUUGAUGUUCUAACGUGGACCCGUAAUCCGGGYUGCGGACAGUGUCUGGUGGGUAGUUUGACUGGGGCGGUCUCCUCCUAAAGAGUAACGGAGGAGCACGAAGGUUGGCUAAUCCUGGUCGGACAUCAGGAGGUUAGUGCAAUGGCAUAAGCCAGCUUGACUGCGAGCGUGACGGCGCGAGCAGGUGCGAAAGCAGGUCAUAGUGAUCCGGUGGUUCUGAAUGGAAGGGCCAUCGCUCAACGGAUAAAAGGUACUCCGGGGAUAACAGGCUGAUACCGCCCAAGAGUUCAUAUCGACGGCGGUGUUUGGCACCUCGAUGUCGGCUCAUCACAUCCUGGGGCUGAAGUAGGUCCCAAGGGUAUGGCUGUUCGCCAUUUAAAGUGGUACGCGAGCUGGGUUUAGAACGUCGUGAGACAGUUCGGUCCCUAUCUGCCGUGGGCGCUGGAGAACUGAGGGGGGCUGCUCCUAGUACGAGAGGACCGGAGUGGACGCAUCACUGGUGUUCGGGUUGUCAUGCCAAUGGCACUGCCCGGUAGCUAAAUGCGGAAGAGAUAAGUGCUGAAAGCAUCUAAGCACGAAACUUGCCCCGAGAUGAGUUCUCCCUGAGACUUAGAGUCUCCUGAAGGAACGUUGAAGACGACGACGUUGAUAGGCCGGGUGUGUAAGCGCAGCGAUGCGUUGAGCUAACCGGUACUAAUGAACCGUGAGGCUUAACCUU